GCCGCCAUGGUGAAAUUGGUAGACACGCUGCUCUUAGGAAGCAGUGCUCAAGCAUCUCGGUUCGAAUCCG
rnacentral:tRNA from 1 species